AAAGGUUGUACUAUUCUGAAAUUUCAGAAUUUAGGGUAGCAUAUUCCCUUUUUGCCAUUUUUGGAUACCCUAUUUAUAGAAAGCACUCACUCACACAGAAAAAGUUAGGAAAAAGAGUGAACGGCUGAAAAACAAAGCUUUUGAAAAGUUUUCUUAAGAAAUUUUGAUUUCUCUCUUUUAUUCUGGAGGUUUUUGUUGGAUUUUCAGAGGUUGAAGAACAGGGCUUGAUUUCCUUCAGGGUUGUUUUAAGCUGAUUGUUUGCCUAUUCUUGCUUUGGUUCUAUUCUAGUGUUUGAACCUUCAGUUCUUUUUUGAACCAAGCUCACUCGAUUGUGGGCUGUUUGUUGUUGCUUGUUUUUCUUCUUCAAAGAUUCAGAAAGUUCUCCUUCUUUUCCUUGGUUUUCUUUGCUGCUACUACUGUUAAGGUAUGUGUAUUUAGUUUCAAAUGAUGUAUAUUGGGUGUUCCAUUGCUAUGAAAAUCUCAGUUUUUGUUUGUUCAUAUUUAUGUGAUACUGAGUGCCAUUUUCUUACUUCUGAGCCGAGUUUUGGUCUCGAAGUGUCUGAUGUGAGUAAUGUCUGAAACCAUACUGAAAAUUUGAGUAAUAAUAGAAACAAUCAUGAAAAGGCAGCCAUUUGAGUGAGCAAUGUGUGUUUGCUAAGAUUUGAUUUGUUCCUAACUUGUAAUGUGUUUUUCAUAUCGUGUUCUGUUUCAACAGAUCUAUGGCUUAGGGUUGAACUACCAUCAUUGUUAGCAUGAAAUUUAGGAGUUUGUCAGUGUUUAGCUCAAUUGAAAUUUCAUAGACAUUGAAAGUAGUCAUUUGUGUAUUAAAAUGAUAUCUUCCUUUGUAUUCAAUUUUUUAGAACUGAAUGUAUAUGACAUAUUGGGUAACUUCGUGUUGCUUUGAUUCGAUGUGGUUUGCCACUGAUUUUCUCCUCACGUAAAGAUGGGAGUUUGAAUGCUUGGUUUUAGGUUGCAGAAGUAGUAUGAAGAAGUCAUGAAUAUAUAAUUGGAUUUUUGUGUUAUAAAAUGAGUAAUCAUAUUUUGUCUUUCUCCUCAUUUUAGUUCUUUAAUAUGCUAAAUAUUUACUGAAAUAGCUGUAUGAAUUUAUUGGUUUAUGGUAUCUAAAGCUACACUUGAGAGUGUACAUGCCAGUGAGCCUAUGUGGGGAAACAAGAGUCCAAUGGACUCCAUGGAUAUGUAGCCCACGAUUCGGAGGUCUACAUGAGACUUGUUGAGCAUAUGGGGCUUCAUUGCUUCAAUUUAGUCAUCUGUAUCGUGGGGAAAUAUGUAUUUCUUUUAUGAAUUUCAUUUAAAUCAUUUGUAUAGUUUCAUAUCAAUCCUUCGCUAUUCUGGAUUAAAUAUCAUGUUUUAUACAAGUAGUAGAUUGAUGUAUUAAUUUAAUAUGACAUUAAGUUUGGUUCAGUUAAUAGGAUUUGUUGAGUUGAGUUGCUAUAUUUGAAUUGGCCUGGGUUCGAUAGGCCUCAAGAGGAUUUGGGCAUGAACUUGGCCCCAGUACUCAACUUCCUUUGGGCCUGGGUUUGGGUCUGGUUGUGUGCCCUGAUUCUGGGCUAAAUUUUGAGCCCAUUGAUGGUUAUGCUUAUCUCUUUGUCUUUCUUUAAAAAAAAACGAGAAGCGAGUAUUAACUCUUUGGGCUUGCAGUUGGCCCAGGUACCUGCCGCAAUUUUCUUGGUCUGUUGCCUUGCUUUUUACACUUAUUUUUUCAGCAGCUUGAGCCCAGAGUUCGGAUGAAAUUAUCCUAAGCUUAAUCAAGUAUAAUUAAUCCCUUUAAAAAUGAUUGGAGGUGUGCCAUAUUUUGUUAAAAUUACCCAUGGCCCUCUUAUUAGUUAAUACAAACUUAGAAGUAAUUAAUUCUUUAAACAUCCGUAAUUUACUUUAGGCGCGUAAUUAAAUUAUUUCAACUACGGGUACGACUCUCUUGGCGAAGUUGUGAUAAUUAAUUUUAAAAUAGGGACGACUUUAGUUUGCCUUUAAAAUGUAUAUAAUCUUCUUUGUUUUAAAAUAACUUGAGGUAUGCCAUGCUUUAAAUAUAUAACACAUGGCUCUCACAAAUUUAGAUCAAAUAAUUUGGGGCGUGCCAUAUACAAAUAAAAUCCUUUAAUUUAUGGCCCUCAUAUAAAUACAAAAUUAGUUUAGAAAUGCCUUGAACCUUCGUAAUUUGCUUUAAGCGCGUUAAUUAAAUAAUUGUCAUAGCUACAACUACGGUUUCCGUGAUGUAGUUGUGAUGCCUAAUUAUUAAAAUCCGGGAGUAUAUUUAUGUGACCCGACCAUAAGUUAAUCUUUAAAAAUUAAACAUGUUGUAGAUCGUGGGUACGAUUUCCGUGAUAUGAUUCGCAAUGUGUAUCAAACAAACAAGUGUACGACAAUCGUAACUUGUUCCAGAAUAAUUUCAUAAAAUAAUAAAAGCAGUUAUAAGGUUAAAAAUGCGCAAUAGGUUUAAAAUGUGUAGUAAAUCAGAUAAUAGGCCAAUAUUAAUAGUUUAAGCGACCGUGCUAGAACCACGGAACCCGGAAAUGCCUAAUACCUUCUCCCGGGUUAACAGAAUUCCUUAUCUAGAAUUUCUGGUUCACAGACUUAUAUAAAGUCGAAAUUUUCUCGAUUUGGGAUUUAAAAAUAAGCCGGUGACUUGGGACACCAAAUAAAUUAUUCCAAGUGACGACUCUAAAAAAUUAAAUAAAUAAUUCCAUUUCGAAUAAUGUCACUUUAAUUGGAAAAACUCUCUCAUAUACCCUCUCUGGUGUAAAAAGGAGGUGUGACAGCUCUGGCGACUCCGCUGGGGACAAGAACCCAGAAUCUCUGGUUUAGGGUUCAAGAAUUCGAGUUUAGAAUAACUAUUAUAUUUGGCUUUAUUCAUUAUCUAAGUUUUACAUGUUGAGCCUAAUGUGCUAAUUGCCGCUUUUUACCGCUUUGAUAUUAUUUGAAUUGUAUAUAAACUGUUACGUAACCUUUCUCUUCUCACCUUCAGGGAUGUGCACGCUGGCGUGACUCCUUUUUCUGUUAGUGUCAUACCUUGAAAUAAGAAAGAGGCUCGGACAAGUUACAAAGCCAGAUGGCCUUUUGGUUCCCGGUACGUAGCCCCCUUUCGGCUCGAGUUGUCCGCUCGGGUACACAAGUCUAGAACAAUAUACCCAAAUUUUAAACUUAGAAUAACUCAGCCUCAUGCCGGAUCCCUAGUAGGAACGUUUAUUUGCAUCAUGUGCAUUUGAUUUUGGGGACUCAACACAGGGGUUGAGUCUGUCUAGGACAGGUGGACCCCAGAAUCAAAAGACCAUCCUGAUGCAUAUUUUACGUGCUACUUGUACAAUUAUUUGCUUCGUUUGCAUGUUGACCGGUUGCUAGAAUAGGGAAGGAAUUGGAAAAAAUAAAAUUGAGUAUGAGAGAGUUGACUACCCGCCUUUGAAAAAAAAACCUGGUGUCCAAAAUAUACCGAAACUCUGUUGAAGUUUUGAAAAAAGAAAGAAAAAGAAUUUGGUUUCAAAAGUUUCAUAUCUUUCCUCUAUUUUAUCAUGUCAAAACUGACCGAACUACACAAGUUUGAUUCUCACCGGAUGUGGGAUACGUAGGCAACCCUCACUGGGUCCAACUCCAUUUUUGCAAAAAAUAACCCAAAAAAAAAAUGAAAUGUUGUUAUUCUAGCUUAAAUAAAAUUAGGUAGUGUCGUUCUUUCCUAAAUAGCCCAAAAUGUUCCCAAAAGGACGUCGGAAGGCUGUUUUUGCAAGAAUAAUCACCUACUACCGUUUUUUAAAAUUUUGGCUACCUAGCAAGCACAACCCUAAAAUCUUCCCUUUAAAAGUGCCGAAGGGCCGUAUUUGCAAAAGUAGUCGUGUUAUUUAAAUAGUUGCAAAAUUGACCUCUUUUGUAAAACUCGCUCUGUUUUAAACCAAUCACCUUAAUUUAAAUGUGUAGAAUGAGCACGCGUCAAAACUUGCCAAUGACGGUCAUGACCAAUAUUCCUUUGGAACUGUAUAUGUGGUAGGAAGAUCUGGGUAAAUCAGGACAAGAUGUGGACAACCUCUACUUGGGGGGUCUUACCGGGUUAUUGAAGAUCAGGCCUAGAGGAGACAUAAUAAUGACACUGGUUACGUUUUGUGAUCCAGCUCACAAUGUAUUCCAUUUCUCGAAUGUUGAACUCACACCCACUUUGGAAGAGAUAUCUGGGUAUAUUGGAAGCACUGAAGCUCUAAGACACAAGUAUUUGGUCGCUCCAAGAGCUGUCACUCCACAUAAGUUUCUAGAUUUCCUAAAGAUAAGCAGGGGGUCCAAUACCAGAUUUGGCAGCUUCUUUUUACACUCUACAGUUCAUAUACCAGCGAUACAUACACAUAGGGGGUUUCUACAAUCCAGAAAGCAGAAUUUGCAGCAAAGGGAAUCAACUAAAAUGGGAAGAACACAGGUGCUUCUCUUUCAUGGUGGUAUUUUUGGGUCUUCUAGUGUUUCUCAGGAAAGAUGGGAAUAUUGAUGUACGGAUAGCUAGGGUCAUCAACACUUUGCUUACUCAGGCCAAAAGCACCCUCGCACCCAUGAUAGUGUCUGAAAUCUUCCAAGCUCUCACAACUUGUAAAGCCGGAGGAGACUUUUUUAAAGGAUGCAACUUGCUGCUACAAAUGUGGAUGAUUGAGCAUCUAUGUCAUCGUCCUUAGUACAUGAAAUAUGGGUCAACAUGGAAAAACUUCAUAAAGGGAGUUUUAUACAAGGGUCGACGGGUUUAACAUGCCAGAAGGGGUCACAGAAUGGAUAUUUGCCUCCGCUCCGUCACUGCAAAUCAAAUAGAGUGGACGUUGGGUUGGCUUCCUGUUGAUGAAAUCAUAUACAUGCCAACUACCGGUCCUCACUUCCUCCUGAUGGGUCUCAAAAGCAUCCAGCCUUAUGCCCCAUACCGGGUUUUGAGACAGCUAGGGAGAUGCCAAAUAGUGCCCAAGGAUGAAGACCUUAGCUGCCAUGUGGUCGAGAUCCAUUAUGAUGGACAGUUUCACGAAAAAUUAGUUCGCCAGAUUUGGAGUGAAUGCUAAUAUCUGAAGCAAAUACCCGAGUGCGUGAUCUAUGCAGAGGUGAAGUCCUACCCGGUUACCUUGCUUGGUACAAAAGGAAGGUUGAGUUUGAAAGGCCAACUAAAAGACCCCACCUCCAAGAGUUUGUCAAAGCAUCACAAGAACAGUGGGAGUGGUUGACAAAAGAAAAUGAAUAUCGGGCCACCAUAAGCAGGUUAGAAGGAUAGAUCAGAGACCUCAAGUUUUAUAGUGAUGUGCAAGCCACUGCCGACGAGGGUGAGAAGAAAAAAUUAGCCCAAGAAAAUGAAUUGCUCCGGGCCUAAAUCCAAAGUAUGAAGCUAGCUGCCAAGAAUCCAGAAAGAAGCCGAGCAGAUGAAAAACUCAUUAAUGGCCUUAGGAAUAAAAUAUGUGAGUACGAGAAUGAUCUAGAAAAAUCCGAAGGCAGUUUGGCAAGAGCUAGAGCACAGUUGGCAAAGAACACCGAGGGAAUGCAGGGUUUAUUCGACAACUAAAAAGGAAAUACGAUGGAGAAGUCACAAAUUUGAAGAAAAAGCUAACCACCCUCGAGAAUGAAAUGGCCAAACAAGCCAAGAGCUUCAAAGUCGAGAGAGAACAUUGCUACGCUUUGAUGGCACAACUAGAGGGAGACCUACAACAUUUGAAAGAACAAAAUCAUACUGCCACUCAGGUCUUGGAGGCUAGAUCUCAGCAGAUUGGGCGGUUGUUGCAAGAAAAGGGCAUCAUCAGGGGAAGUAUUAGAAGAAUCGCCGACUACAUCGUGAUGAAAUGCAACGAGUGCGAGGACAUGACUAGGUCCAUGUUCUUCGCCUCAGUAAUGAUCUUUGUCAUCGACGAUCUCUAUCGCCUCCAGGAUGACAUGGCACGUAGGCCCGCGGCAAGACCAAUUGGUGUUCCUAGGACAGGAUUGGAGGCACUGAUAUACUCCUGAUUGUGUUUUCUUUUUCGAGUCUGUAUUCUUAUUCCCUAAAGUUUAUUUCGAGUAUGUUGUAGUUUUCAUUCUCAAGUAUGUUGGAUCGAGUCUUUGUAAUAAAGAAAAUUAAAGGUUUUGUUUUAAUGAAAAUUUGAAAAGAGAAAAAAAAAAGUUUUAUUUUGCAUUUAUUUCUUCAACUACAUGAUGAUCUGAUUCAUGCGGCAUUGUGAUACGUAGGCAAUCCUUAUCGGAUCCGGUCAUAAUUUUGUAAAUAACUCAAAUAAAAGAGAAAAUGUGAAAAAGAGAAAGCCAAAACCGAAAAGAAAAGAGAGAAAACAAGGAAAAGAAUAAGAACAAGAGAGAAAAUAAGAGCGCAGAAAGAGCAAGAGAGAAAAUUGGGGAGAUAAACAAAAGUCGGGAUGAAACACGCAACCGUUGCAAAACAUAUAGAAAACACACUCAACUUUAUAGGUGUAUCACACCCCCAACGUGCGAUUACCUAUGUGUUAAUUGUCUCACACUAACCGGUUUGUUGUGUUGGCUAUAAAAUAAGUUCUAUAUUAAGGUGGUUGGUUUUGUGGUAGUCUGGCUUCACAUCCGUGCUUCACAAGGUCAAAAUGGAGUGUUGAAAUGUCUUCGGAAAGUCAUCUGCCAACAGUUCCUAUCCUGGAGGAUAGCCCGAUCUCGGCCAUCCCAACAUCCGAGUCAGCAACUGCUGAGGAAAAUAGAAUUCUGCGUCUCCGCAUAAUGGAAAUGUGGGACGCCUGGUCCAAUGGAAGAGAACCACCGAGUGCGAUACCUGGAUUCUCUGAGCUACUUCCCAGGGCAAGUGGGACUUCCAACGUCCCCAUAAGUUAUCCAAAUACCCCACUGGGAUAUCCUACCAUCUCAGCCACUUUGCUGGGACACCUUCUGAGGCUCGUCCCUAGGUGUUAAUUUCAGGUGCGGCCUCCAAUAUAUUCACUGCGCCACCUUGUUCAGCUACGGCACAACCCACUUUACCCAGGCCAAGCUUUGAUCCAUCAUCUUUUACCUUCCAAGUGCCAUCGUUUCUACUGGAACCUACCUAGUUCACUACCAACGCUUACCCUCAGCCACCCCGGUACGAGUUUACCGCAGGAUAAGAAAAAACCCCCAAAGAACCCUGAACAAGAGGAGAUUACCCAAAAAAUAAGGAGUAUGGAGCAGAGUCUCAAAAAUAUACAGGGUUUGAGCGGGCAAAAGAGCGUAUCCUACGCUGAUCUGUGUAUGUUCCCACAUGUGCACUUACCUUUAGGUUUUCAAAACCCCGAAGUUUGAAAAGUAUGACGAGCAUAGGGAUCCUAUAGCCCACCUCAAGAGGUACUGCAACCAAUUGCGGGGAGCAGGUGGAAAAGAGGAGCUUCUCAUGGCUUAUUUUGGAGAGAGACUAGUCGACAUUGCUUCUGAAUGGUACAUGGAUCAGGAUAUAUCUCGUUGGCAUAUUUGGGAUGACCUGGCUCGGGAUUUUGUCAGGCAGUUUUAGUAUAACAUCGACAUAGCCCCAUACAGGAAUUCAUUGUCGAACCUCAAGAAAAAGUCCUCGUAAAGCUUCCGAGAGUACGGUGUCAAAUGGAGCGAACAAGUGGCCAGAGUCAAGCCUCGGGUGAAACAGAGAUGGUUAGCAUUUUUCUUCAAGCCCAAGAGGCUGACUAUUUUCAGAACAUGAUGUCUGCGAUGUAGAAACCGUUUGCCGAGGCCAUCAAAAUUGGUGAAAUGGUUGAGAAUGGUCUAAAACCAUGACACAUUUUGAGUCAAUCUGCUAUAAGGGCUACCUCCCAAGCAAUUCAAGGCGGGUCUAGAGGUGUAGCGAACCGAAAGAAGAAGGAAGAAGUGACAAUGGCAACUUCAAGUGUAAGAAAACCCCGUCCACCUAGACCUUACUUCCCUGCAAGAACCCCACAACAUUACUAUACCCAUCAGGAUGUGGCCUAUGCUAUGGAUCCUCAGCUAUACACAGUGAUGAAUGCCCAUCCCUACGCUAGGCCACAACAACAAUUCAACCAAAACCGAGCUCCAUUUCCUAGAAAUCAAUCUCCUCGCCAAGCUCAGUAUAAUCCGAACCCCUACAAAAUAACUUCACCAACAAUGCCCAUGCCCAGGAACCACCCAGGAUGGCAAACUUCACGCCCAUUGGUGAUUCAUAUUCUAGCCUGUUCCCUAAACUUGUCUAGAUGGGUUUGUUGCAGCCCGUACCCCAAACCAGGCAAAACCUAGAGUCGCCUUCCUACAGAGCCGGUACUCGAUGUGCUUACCUUUUGGGAGUGAAAGGGAAUGAUACAGAUGACUGUUGGACCCUGAAGAGAGCUAUUGAAAAUCUCAUAAAACAAAAGCGGAUAGUGCUAAAAGACGAAGACAUUCCUAAUGUGACCAACAAUCCAUUAUCGACUCACAACAACGGAUCGAGUUUUGGGAUGAUUUGCGAAGAUAAGGAGUUUGAUCCUACUUUGAAAGCCAUAAUUGCAAUCGCUGAUGUUGAAAGGAAGUCAAAGGCUGUCGCAAAACAAGACAAGGGGGAGAAGAAGAGUAAACCCACCCCUCAAAAUACAGAAAAGAAAGUGGAAACCAAAACUGCGGCAGCACCCUCAAAAGAUGUCAUUCUUUAUGUUCCCCAGGGUCACAAGAAAGAAUAAAUGUCAUUGAGCCCUCCGAGAAGGUUUGAGUUGAACAAGGGACUUAAGAUGUAUGCACCUGAAGGGACCUACAUGGCGUGAGGACCAGUAAUUCCACUCAGUUUGAGCGAGCCCGUGAUCAUUAGCCACGCACCACAAAGGCCUAUGAAAGACCCCACUACCGUCCCUUGGAACUACAAUAGAGCAAUUGUGACAUACAAAGGGAAAGAAAUUGCAGGGGAAGUAAAUAAAACCAAACCGGCUGAGAAAUACCUCAAUCUGGAGGAAGGGAAUAAUGCCACAAAGAAGCGUUUCCCACUCAAGAAGCCAGUUAGUGCCGAAGAAGCAGAAGAGUUCUUCAGGAAAAUGAAAAUUGCGGACUAUGAGAUAAUUGACCAACUCCGAAAGUCUCCUGCUCAGGUCUCUUUGUUGUCUCUGCUAAUGAAUUAAACUGAACAUCAGAAAGUGUUGAUCAAAACCCUCAAUGAAGUGUAUGUUCCCAUUGAAACCACUGUGGAACAACUGGAAAGGAUGGCAGAAAGAUUUUUUGCAGUCAAUCAAAUUUCUUUCAGCAAGAAUGAUUUGCCCCCAGAUGGGGCCGCCCACAACAAAACCCUUUAUCUGACAGUUAAAUACGAGGGAUAUUAUGUGAAAAGGGUCAUGCUGGAUGGUGGUUCCGGAGUAGAUAUUUGCCUUCUCUCAACUCUGCAAAGAAUGGAGAUCGGUACUGAGAGAAUCAGGCCCAACAAUGUCUGUGUGUGGGCCUUUGAUGGCAUCAAGAGAGAUACCAUAGGUGAGAUUUAUUUGAUUCUGACUAUUGGUUCGGUGAAUUUUGAGGUGACCUUUCAGGUCCUAGACAUGGAUACUUCCUACAAUUUCCUCUUGGGAAGACCUUGGAUUCGCGUAGCAGGGGAUGUACCUUCCACUCUACACCAGAUGGUGAAAUUUGAAUAUGAAGAUCAAGAGAUUGUAGUCCAUGGAGUGGAUGAUCAGUCGAUUUACCGGGACCCGUCAGUCCCAUGUCUCGAAGCUAGAGAAGGAAGUGAACAUAUAGUCUAUCAAGCUUUCGAGGUUGUGGUCGCAGACCAAUGUGAAAAAGGAAGCCCUUGUCCUCAACCCUUUCUCUCAAAUGCGUCAAUUAUGGUUUCCAAGGAGAUGAUCAGGCAUGGUUAUAAACCCGGGAAGGGGCUCAGGACGUCAUUGCAAGGAAUCACUGAAUCUAUCACUCUGGCUGCUAGCAAGAAGUUCUUUGGUGUGGGUUUUCAAGCCACACCAGCUGAUGAAACAUGGGCAAAUGAGUGAAAGAACAAUGGUUGGGUCUUACCUCAGCCGAUCUCGCAUCUGUUCGAAACCUUUGUCAGGACUUAGUACAAUGAAGAAGAAGAAGAUGAGGCCUUCACAACCGAGGAAAUUGAAGAAAUUUGUGGGGCUAUGAGUAGAUAUUGUAUAAAACCCACAUGGUUCAGUCGGGAGAAGGCUCGAGAACCGCCGAGGUGCUGCACAUGGGGCCCGAUGCCAAGUUGCAAAAUUGGAAGGCUACUCCGUUCCCAGUCAGGGGGGAAUCCUGGUAGUCCAGUCUUGCCACCUUUUCUGCAUUACGAGUUAUUUCAGGGUGUAACUCGGAUGUUUAUUUUAGUUUCUUGUCUUUAAAAUUCCAAUGUAAACCUUGUUAUCUUCAAAGUUCAAUGAAAUCAAAUCAAUAUUUCAUCAUUCAUCUCUCUUUAUUCUUUCUGAUUUUUGUUACUUUUUCUUAUUUCUUUUUUCAUUUCUAAUAAUGCGGCUUUAAAUAACAUGACAUGCUUGCGGACUUCAUGCUCAGAUCCAAACACGCUGUCUAAUUAUGAAGUAAUGAACCAAGAACUGGAAUAUGAUGAAGAAGAGGCUUUUAUGGAAAUAAAUCGAGAAUUGGAACAAUUUGAGAAUAAGACUAAGCGAAAUCUUAAUGAAACUGAGCCGAUAAAUUUGGGUAAUUUAGAAGAGGUCCAAGAGUCCAUGAUAAGCAUUCACAUAGAUGAAAGAACUAGGGAUGCCUUGAUCCAACUUUUGUUUGAAUUCAGUGUCGAUUUGGUGGUCCUCAAGUUGCCGACUUACCCUGAUUAUCCCCCUGUCCAGCAAAAGAAAAGAAAGUUCAAAACUGAUAUUAGUGACAAGAUCAAAGAAGAAGUCACCAAACAUUUGAAAGUGGGGGUGAUCCGAGUUGUCCGAUAUACCACAUGGCUGGCUAAUGUAGUUCCUGUACCAAUGAAAGAUGGGAAGACUCGAGUGUGUGUCGACUACCGAGAUCUCAACAAAGCAAGUCCCAAGGACAACUUCCUUCUGCCAAACAUCCACAUCCACAUUGACAACCGUGCCAUACAUGAGAUACAGUCUUUCGUGGAUUGUUAUGCUGGGUAUCAUCAGGUCUUAAUAGAUGAGGAAGAUGCAAAAAAGACAACAUUUACAACACCUUGGGGCACUUAUUGCUACAGGGUCAUGCCUUUUGAUCUGAAGAAUGUCGGGGCAACUUACAUGAGAGCCAUGACUACCAUUUUCCAUGACAUGAUGCACCAGGAAGUUGAGGUGUAUAUGGACGAUGUGAUCAUCAAAUCCAAAAUACAGGACGACCAUGUUCGAGACCUGAGAAAGUUUUUUGAGCGGCUGCGUAAGUAUGAUUUGAAGCUGAAUCCGGCUAAAUAUGCAUUUGGGGUUCUGUCUAGCAAACUCCUGGGAUUUAUAGUCAGUUGGAGGGACAUCGAGUUAGAUCUAACGAAAAUAAAGUCUAUUCGGGAUUUGACAAAAUAAAGUCAAGAGGCCUUUGACAAAAUCAAAGAAUAUAUGUCAAAUCCGUCAGUCGUAGUCCCACCCAAACCUGGAAGACCUUUGUUUUUGUAUUUGAUAGUCUUGGAGAAUUCUUUCGGUUGUAUCCUCGGGAAACAUGAUGUGACCGGGAAGAAAGAGCAGGCAAUAUACUAUUUGAAUAAAAAGUUCACAAGCUAUGAAGCUAAAUAUACCUUGUUGGAAAGGACUUGCUGCGCCUUAACUUGGGUCGCUCAAAAACUUAGGCAUUACCUA
rnacentral:lncRNA from 1 species